GUCCUCCCAACAGAACAAACCCCCCGGCGUAAAAUGCGCCAAGGAAUCUUAAAUGAAAAGAGAAGGUAACCAGCACCCUAGCGUGCCGGGAAAGGAAAUUCCCAGGGGCGGUGGGUUUCCUUGUUAAAAAAUAAAAUAACCCUCGCAAACGAAAUUCUGGCUUCUCCCAUCAAGAAAAAACGAACCAAAUGGCAAUCCUUGGGGGGAAUUGAAAAACCCCUGGAACCAUCAAUUUUUUAAACCCAAGUUGCCCCAAAAGCCUUCGGGCCAAGGGACCGCCGGCUGGGGGGUCAGGAACGGUGGCCCCUUCCAAUUCCUUUGGGGGGAAGAUCGAAUAAGGGGGGAAAAAGGGCCUCCGGGGGGCCCCCGUUCGCGGUGGGCCAAAAUUUAAGUCGUGGGGGAUAGGGCACC
rnacentral:rRNA from 1 species